UAGGGAAUAUUGGUAAUCUGGGAAACCGGGAACCAGCAACGCCGCGUGCGCGAUGAAGGCCUUCGGGUUGUAAAGCGCUUUUUGAGAGGAUGAGGAAGGACAGUACUCUUAGAAUAAGCCUCGGCUAACUACGUGCCAGCAGCCGCGGUAAAACGUAGGAGGCAAACGUUAUCCGGAUUUACUGGGCGUAAAGCGCGUGCAGGUGGCUCGAUAAGUUGGAUGUGAAAGCUCCCGGCUUAACUGGGAGAGGUCGUUCAAUACUGUCGGGCUAGAGGAUGAGAGAGGGAGGUGGAAUUCCGCAUGUAGUGGUGAAAUGCGUAGAUAUGCGGAGGAACACCAGUGGCGAAAGCGGCCCCCUGGCCCAUUUCUGACGCUCAGACGCGAAAGCUAGGGUAGCAAACG
rnacentral:rRNA from 1 species